UCCGGUGAGGUUCGUGGUUUGGUGAUUCGGCUCUGGUCAACCUGUAGAGAAAAGAAUGGUGAUCACGGUGAUAUAAAAAUUGCAUCAAACGGAGGUCGGGAAGGGCCUCGUCGGAGGCAAAAACUGAGAGGGGGCGCGGCGGCGCCGCUGGUCUUCGGCCGCGUAUUCCAGCCGUUUUGCCAGGAUUUUGGCUUCGAUUUGGCCACAGAAAGAAUCAGCGU
rnacentral:lncRNA from 1 species